rnacentral:rRNA from 1 species
AACGAACGCUGGCGGCAGGCUUAACACAUGCAAGUCGAACGCCCCGCCAGUGGAGUGGUAGACUGGUGAGUAACGCGUGGGAACAUACCCUUUUCUACGGAAUAGCCCUGGGUAACUGGAAUUAAUACCGUAUACGCCCUACGCGGGAAAGAUUUAUCGGGGAAGGAUUGGCGCGCGUUGGAUUAGCUAGUUGGUGGGGUAAAGGCCUACCAAGGCGACGAUCCAUAGCUGGUCUGAGAGGAUGAUCAGCCACAUUGGGACUGAGACACGGCCCAAACUCCUACGGGAGGGAGCAGUGGGGAAUAUUGGACAAUGGGCGCAAGCUUGAUCCAGCCAUGCCGCGUGAGUGAUGAAGGCCUUAGGGUUGUAAAGCUCUUUCACCGAUGAAGAUAAUGACGGUAGUCGGAGAAGAAGCCCCGGCUAACUUCGUG